rnacentral:rRNA from 1 species
AUUGAACGCUGGCGGCAGGCCUAACACAUGCAAGUCGAACGAGUGGCGGACGGGUGAGUAAUGUCUGGGAAAAUGCCUGAUGGAGGGGGAUAACUACUGGAAAAGGUAGCUAAUACCGCAUACCAUCGGAUGUGCCCAGAUGGGAUUAGCUAGUAGGUGUGGUAAAGGCUCACCUAGGCGACGAUCCCUAGCUGGUCUGAGAGUAUGACCAGCCACACUGGAAAUGAGACACGGUACAGACUCCGACGGGAGGCAGAAGUGGGGAAUAUUGCACAAUGGGCGCAAGCCUGAUGCAGCCAUGCCGCGGGUAUGAAGAAGGCCGUCGGGUUGUAAAGUACUUUCAGCGGGGAGGCGUUACCCGCAGAAGAAGCACCGGCUAACUCCGGGCCAGCAGCCGCGGUAAUAC